GGUGACUUGGCGAGGUGGUUCAGCGCCUGGCUCUCUUCUAACGAAGAGCGUGGGUUCGAAUCCUGCAGUCACCA
rnacentral:tRNA from 1 species